GCUGACCCAGACAGCAAGCCAACAUUGAAUAAACAUUGUUUUUCCAUCUGAAUCAUCAUUAUGGUUGAUAUUGAAAUUUCAAUGCAAAAUAAAUGUUGAAUCACCAUUAUCAUAUCGAUGAAAACCUGAUAUUAUUAAUGUUGAUGGCAACAAUAUUGGAACAACAUUGAUCCAUAGUUAUCUUUAUGAUUGAUUAAGCAUUGAUAUUUGGUUACCGGGUGAUCCCUGAAUGUGUUGAAAAGUAAUUGAUUUAUAGUGGACAGAGAAACGAUGCGGUUGUUGAAAAGUCAUCGAAAUAUAGUUGACCGGGAAAUAUGAUAGAAAAUGCAUCGAAAUAUAGUUGACCGGGAAAUAUGAUAGAAAAUGCAUCGAAAUAUAGUUGACCGGGAAAUAUGAUUGAAAAUCCAUCGAUUUUUGGUUGACCGGGAGAUCAACGGGUGGUAUACCCAACGUACUGCACCGGACACAGCUCAUUUCUGGACCCUUGGCACAAGUACAGGUAAGCUUGCUUAAUGUUCGAUAUGAACCCAGACAGCACAGGCACGCGGUGUGUUUUUAUACAGUCUGUGGGCAGCUGAAGAGAUGGCUCAUUUUCAAAUAAUGUUACCGUUAACUUGUUUAGACAACGGUCACGGUAAAUUAAUAUUAAAGCCUUUCGUGUCCAGCAGUUUCUCGGAGGGAAAAUGUAAAAGCGGUUUAUUAAAGAGAAGUCCUGACUGCUUUAUCGUCGUGUUUUUCACUCUUUUACAGGCUGCCAGAAAGAAUCUACUAUAUUCUACUAUAUUAAUCUUACUAUAGUGAGUGAUUAUUGAAUGAGGCUGUACAUUAUAAAUGUAAUGUUUUAACUCUAGAUGUUUGUUUGUGUGAAUGCUGUGUGUGCGGUGAGUUCUGCGCGAGGAGCAGAGUUGCCAUGGAAACGGGGCGUCAACACAAAAACCGUUACUGGCAAGCAGUAAUCUCCGUCUCUCGCUGCGGUUUACGCUGUUUUAGGUGGACAGAAAGAAACUAUACAGAACAAAGUGAAACUCCAAGAUUUUUGAAAAGAAAAUUGGUGAAAUAUAUUCUGAAAAAGGCAUAUUAAUGUAUUUCAUGAGCUUCUUCAGUAAAUCUGUAUUUCUAAGUCAGUAUCUCCCUUCAGAAAUGUGGCUGAAGGGAGAUACUGACUUAGAAAUACAGGUGAACUCAUGAAAAGAAGCUCAUGAAAGAAGCUCAUGAAAUACAUUAAUAUGCCUUUUUCAGAAUAUAUUUCGCCAAAUUUAAGAAGUCCCUGACAUCAAAACAUGGCUUGUUUUGUUCCUGGACUCUUCAGUGAUGAUGAGCAGAGUCUGAGUGAACCUGCUGUCAGACAAUCACUAUUGCACACCAAAUGCUCUUACUCAGCAGAUGGGGAACAGCUACCAUCACCCAAUUUUCACCCAAAAGUGGCUGCGCUAUUCGCCAGACUGGGCAGGAGGGACUGGACGACAACUUAUGCAGGCAUCAGAUGACAAUGAAAUGUAAAUAAAGAGUAGAGAAGCUAAUAAACAUGAAUUUGAUUUUAAA